rnacentral:lncRNA from 1 species
AGUCAUUUAGGCAUUAUGCAACACUGUUUCCCGUAUUUCCUUCUUUUGACAACCACAGUCAACGUGAUACAGCCUUUUCCGGUUAAUUCGUUGAACAUGGCAGUCGGCAAAAAUAAAGGUCUUUCCAAGGGAGGAAAAAAGGGUGGUAAGAAGAAGGUAGUAGAUCCCUUUUCACGCAAGGACUGGUACGAUGUCAAAGCACCGAAUAUGUUUCAAACCCGUCAAAUCGGUAAAACGCUUGUCAACCGCACCCAGGGACAAAGAAUUGCCUCGGAUUACUUGAAGGGUCGCGUGUUCGAAGUGUCUCUGGCUGAUCUGCAGAAAGACAUCGAUCCUGAGCGUUCGUUUCGUAAGUUCCGUCUUAUUGCUGAAGACGUACAGGACCGCAACGUUCUGUGCAACUUCCAUGGAAUGGAUUUGACUACCGAUAAAUACAGGUAAUUGCAUUUUCCGUGUUAAUGCUCAACAAGCAAGCCAUUCACAUAUCCAUAUAUAUAUGUAUGUAAGUACGUACAUAUGUAUGUAUGUACAUAUACAUACGUAUGUACAUAUCCAUAUAUCCAUAUCUUUUAGCUGAAGAGUUUUUUGUCUAUAACUUAUGUAGAUUGUAGCUUAUUUGACAACUAAAUGUUCUGCGCAUUAAAAUAAAGUAAUGCAUAAUGAAAAGAUUUGGCACACAAUGGCCAAAGGUUCAUACAAGCAGAUAGUUAUAUAUCUACAUAAGAAUAGAUGGGCAUAGGGCUAAACGACACAUAGAUACACAUAUAUCCAAUAAUCUACACAAAUGUACGUUUUCUUUUGGAUAGGUCCAUGGUGAAAAAGUGGCAAACACUUAUUGAGGCCAUAGUUGAGGCCAAAACCGUUGAUGGGUAUCUGUUGCGUGUUUUCUGCAUUGGAUUUACUGCAAAAGACCAACAGUCUCAGCGUAAAACUUGCUAUGCGCAACAGUCUCAGGUCCGUAAGAUUCGCGCACGUAUGACUGACAUCAUAACUAAUGAAGUCAGUGGGGCUGAUCUGAAGCAACUAGUUAACAAAUUAGCUCUGGACUCAAUUGCAAAAGAUAUUGAAAAGAGUUGUCAACGCAUUUAUCCUUUACAUGAUGUUUACAUCCGUAAAGUGAAGGUGUUGAAGAAGCCUCGUUUUGACGUAUCCAAACUUCUGGAGUUGCAUGGUGAUGGUGGCGGAAAAACUACAGAAGCCGUCGUAUCUGCUGAAGGCGCUGUGGUCGACCGUCCCGAAGGUUACGAACCACCCGUACAGGAGGCAGUCUAAGCUGGAUAUGCAUUUUGUUUAUUGUAUUGCAUUCAGAGAGCAUAUAAUAUAUAACUCUACGUUUUGUAGAACAUCAUUUUUGUGUUUUAGCUUCUUGGUUCCAGGGGGUUUUAUUUUUAAUUUUAGGGGAGUCCGGAAUUGGAAUACUGCCGUUAACGUUUUACCAAAUGUAAUACAAAUGGUAUCCUACAUUUAGAGCAUGGUAUGUAAGCUUGAAACAAUAAACCUAAAUGGUGUAAACCAUAUAACCAUAUGUUUUCCACAUCUUAGAUUACAUGAUAACUUGAGGAUAGCUAAAGGUACACAAGCUGUGCAACAGGUAAAUAUCAAAUAUAAGAUUCGGUUUGCAAAAUGAUGUUUAAUUUUUCGUCUCUGUCAGUUUACUGAUGACAAUUCAUGGCUGAUUGCAAAAAAAAAAAACAAAUAGAUUGCUGUAUAAACAUAUGAACUUACUUUUGAACAUCUAAGUUUUCAAUUUUUGCAGACAAUAUGAAGCAGUAAACGACCAUGACACACGGAGGUCGGAUCCAAUUGGACCGCUAAUUGGUAAAUGUAUGAAUAUACUUGCAUGAAUCUUACAAGUU